GACGAACGCUGGCGGCGUGCUUAACACAUGCAAGUCGAGCGGUAAGGCCCUUUCGGGGGUACGACGAGCGGCGAACGGGUGAGUAACACGUGGGUGACCUGCCCUUACGCUCUGGGAUAAGCCUGGGAAACGUGGGUCGUAAUACCGGAUAUGACUCCAUGACGCAUGUUGUGGGGUGGAAAGCCUUGUGCGGCUAGGGAUGGGCCUGCGGCCUAUCAGCUUGUUGGUGGGGUGAUGGCCUACCAAGGCGACGACGGGGUAGCCGGCCUGAGAGGGCGACCGGCCACACUGGGACUGAGACACGGCCCAGACUCCUACGGGAGGCAGCAGUGGGGAAUCUUGCGCAGUGGGCGAAAAGCCUGACGCAGCGACGCCGCGUGGGGA
rnacentral:rRNA from 1 species